UGGGGAAUAUUGCACAAUGGGCGCAAGCCUGAUGCAGCCAUGCCGCGUGUAUGAAGAAGGCCUUCGGGUUGUAAAGUACUUUCAGCGAGGAGGAAGGCGUUGUGGUUAAUAACCGCAGCGAUUGACGUUACUCGCAGAAGAAGCACCGGCUAACUCCGUGCCAGCAGCCGCGGUAAUACGGAGGGUGCAAGCGGUAAUCGGAAUUACUGGGCGUAAAGCGCACGCAGGCGGUCUGUCAAGUCGGAUGUGAAAUCCCCGGGCUCAACCUGGGAACUGCAUCCGAAACUGGCAGGCUAGAGUCUUGUAGAGGGGGGUAGAAUUCCAGGUGUAGCGGUGAAAUGCGUAGAGAUCUGGAGGAAUACCGGUGGCGAAGGCGGCCCCCUGGACAAAGACUGACGCUCAGGUGCGAAAGCGUGGGGAGCAAACA
rnacentral:rRNA from 1 species